CUUUUCCAUCAAUGUGUUUUUAUAUUGCAUACACAUGCUUUUGUGUCUUGUACACAUAUAUAUAUCCUGUAUCUCAUAUUUACAUUUAUUUUAAUUCUAAAAUGUUAAAGUGCAAGGUGCAAGGACUUCAAUCAAACCUUGAGAUUUAACUUAAUCAGUGAAACCCCUACUAGUCUACACUAAAGGAUUUAAGCUUUAAGCCAUAAGAAACUCACCAAUCACAGUAGUUUGUUAUAAGAAUACUCAGUUGGGAUUGGUCAAUUUCUUACGGCUUAAAGCUUACAUCUUCAUUGUAGACAAGGCCAUAAACUUGUCAAAUGUAUGGGUACUAUAUCGCAAGGUUGGGUAAUUAAAGUUAAUAACUGGUAAUUUAAUUAUAAUUUCAAAUGAUACUGGUUUUGAGACUUUGGGACCAUUGGAGUUAGCAAGAAAGACUUCUGGAUGGAUGGCCAUGAACAGUAUUAUACUGAUGUUUCACAAACAUUAUAAUUUGUUAAUUCCGGGUUGUGCAACCUACAAUGUUUGCAAAUUUUUAACUGGUUAUUUUGAAAUACAAAUGUUAACUUUUUUUUUAAGUUAAAAAAUUACCUAUGUAAAAUAAAAUUAAAAAGUAUAACUCAAUGCCAAAAAUAUUUUUAUGUAAUUUUAUAAAUAAACAAAUCUUUACAAAGAAAUUGUUAAAGGUUUGUUUCAUACUGAAUAUUGAAAUUGUUUUUAUCAUUUAGAAUAAUUUAAUUUUUAUUAAAAAUUACAACUUUUUAAUGUUCUUCAAAAUUAGCUUUUAAUUUAACUUAAUUUAAUCUUAACGCAAUUGAAUUAGUUUUUCAUUUGUGGAACUUUUAACAUAACUAAAUUAAUUUUAGGAGCCAUUUUUAACUUAAUUUAAGAAGUUCUAAGAAAAUAUUAACUUUUUAUCCAAUUAAAAUACUUAAUUUUUUGUGAUGUAAUUUAUAAGAAAAAAUUAAAUUUGGGAUAUACUAAUUAUAUAAUUAAAAAUUUUGAUACAAGUGAUCCUGCCGCUUCUGAACUACUAAUCGAUUAAUUUAACUGGAGCAAGCUCAAUGUUGCAUUAAAAAUUUCACACAAUUUUUCAUUUUUUUUAUACACAUAAUGUAAGUAGAUUUUUCUAUUUUUUACUGGUGACAAGAAUUACACAAUUAUAAAAAAAUUAUACUAUUUUGUUGGAAUUACUUACAAAAAUAAUAACGUAAAGUAAUAUCAAAAAAUUGCACUGAUAACUGGUUAACUUGCUGCAAUACUUAUCACGGCUUUUCAGCGCAAGCAUUAAAUAAUAAAUUUUUUUUAUCUCUACACUCGCAAUGUGCAAUGUCACGCCAUACGUUGUUUUUUCUUUAAACAUUAAAGCAUUUGCGUAACCAGUUUUAAAUGUGUUAUUUAUCUAUAAUGGUUAAGGCAGUCCAGCAUCCCCUUAAGUGAGAUUAACAGUAGGAAACAAUGAAGGAAACAAAAGCUAAAAAUAACUCUGAAAAUGUAAAUAAAAGUGUUUUUUGUCACAUGAUAUAUCAGUUUUUAUACUAUGGCUAGAUUUCAAUGGAACUGAUCAUAUUCUACACAAAAACUAUGCAAAAGAAUUAUACUUUAAUAAAGAAUUAAAAAUUGCACACGGGUAUAUGGACAGUUUUUCUACGCACAAUAUAUGUGUGUGCAAUUUUUAAUUCAAGGAUAAUUCUUGUGCACAGUUUUUCCACGUACAAUUUUUUUGUGUACAAUAUAUUUGUGUAGAAUAUUCUGCUGGUGUACAAUUAUUUCGUGUACAAUAUGAUCCGUGCCAUUUCAAUUUAUGCUGCCAGUACUGAAAAUCUAUAGUUCACGUUACGUAUACCAUAGAUUUUUAAUACUAGCAUUAAAUUUUGGAACACAGCCUAUAUAUUUCGUAUCAUGUAAUAAUUAAUGUUUUCGCAACAUAA